rnacentral:ribozyme from 1 species
ACAAACACGGACAAAACAAUAAUUAAUACAUGGAUAUGUAUACUAUAUAUGUUACUUUGCAUUGUAUGUGUGUUUUGUUGUUCUCUUAUUAAUUUUUGGUUCUACUACU